GAGUUUGAUCCUGGCUCAGAUUGAACGCUGGCGGCAGGCCUAACACAUGCAAGUCGAGCGGAUGACGGGAGCUUGCUCCUUGAUUCAGCGGCGGACGGGUGAGUAAUGCCUAGGAAUCUGCCUGGUAGUGGGGGACAACGUUUCGAAAGGAACGCUAAUACCGCAUACGUCCUACGGGAGAAAGCAGGGGACCUUCGGGCCUUGCGCUAUCAGAUGAGCCUAGGUCGGAUUAGCUAGUUGGUGGGGUAAUGGCUCACCAAGGCGACGAUCCGUAACUGGUCUGAGAGGAUGAUCAGUCACACUGGAACUGAGACACGGCCCAGACUCCUACGGGAGGCAGCAGUGGGGAAUAUUGGACAAUGGGCGAAAGCCUGAUCCAGCCAUGCCGCGUGUGUGAAGAAGGUCUUCGGAUUGUAAAGCACUUUAAGUUGGGAGGAAGGGCAGUAAGUUAAUACCUUGACUGUUUUGACGUUACCGACAGAAUAAGCACCGGCUAACUCUGUGCCAGCAG
rnacentral:rRNA from 1 species